UGCGCAUUGCUCUGCUGAGCCAGUUGGAGCUGGUACAUUGCUGUCUUCACUGGAGUGCUGCAAGCUCGAAGUGUGAUCUUGAGUAGCUGUUAUUCAAUACCAUAUGCUCUUAAGGACAACGCCCUGAUGUCCAAGGUCAAUCAGCAAGAAGCUGAGAAGGCACUGUCAAAAUGGUUCACUGGGGCAAGGGACAGAGGAGGACAGAGAGCAUCAAGAACGCAGAAAAGGAUGUCUGUUUGAGAAAGGUUAUAACUACAGUUGCUGAUUUGAACUGUCAUAGUUCUUUUAUUUUUCUUAAAGGAAAACCUUUUUCAAUAUUUUACCAUGUUCUUCCCUCAACUUAGAUGAAUUAAUACAUACCUCUAUUUUCUCAAUGCACUUAAAGGUGGGGCGCACAAUUUCUGGAAAAAAAAAAGUUUUGGAAAAGGAAGUCGGGCAGACUACCAAAACACACUUGUAGCCAAUCAGUAGCAUGUCUACUAACUGACAUCGUUUCCUGCCUUGCGUAUUUGUGGGGCAGGUCUAUCAAAAGAAGGUCCAGAUUCUAUUAUGGUAAGGGUGUGUUUGUUUAGAUGAUUUCAAAAUGUAAACAUUAGUGAUGCAACAAUACACUUAGUUCACGGUUCAAUACAAUUUUCGGUUCUUGUCCACGGUUUUCGGUUCGGUAUCGGUCCUGAUGCCUUGACCUAUUAAAGUGUUUUUUAAUUACCGGUAUUCUAUGCUUGGGUAACAGGAACAGUGAGAUGUUAAGAAGCAAAAAUACUGGUUUUAAUUGCAGUUCUCUUUAUUUUAUGUAGAUGCAAAAUCAUCUUACACAUUUCUAGUGUAUUGAUACAACAAUAUAAAUAUAAUUAAAUAAAGAUAUAUAAAAAUUAUAUCCUAUUCAAACUGGGGAACAUGUGAAUUCAUUACAUUACAUAAAUUGGCCAUUUUAUAUACCUGUACUUAGUAAAUUAAACUUUACAUUGUAAAAUAAGGCUAUACCUUACUGCACUAUUAAAUCCAACAUCAUGUUGUCUAUGUAGAAACCAAAAAUGCGUUUCCUCAAUCAAGAUUACUGGUGGGAUUUAUUUUAGCAUCAGGCGCAUUCUCUUCUUGAGUUGAACUUUUUGAGAACGGAAGACGUGUUUGAGGCAAACAACGCGCGUUUGCGAAUUUGCAUCUUUACAUUGAUGUUGUAUGUAAUCUACACGCGCAAGUAAUUAAUCCUCACCUCAGAUUUAAAAGACAGUUGUGCUGCUGCUUUUUGUUGUCGUAUUUCUGUUGGGUGUGUUUGCACGCGAAUGAAAUCUGAAACCAGCAUUGCAAGCAGAGUUCAAGCAGAGUUAACGCAGGUAGCGCACAGUGAUUGGAUAUCAACUCGCUGUGGCGUUUAUAAGCGUGCAGAUCAUGCGGACACGCACAUUAACAAAAGUGCAGGGAAUAUAAAACUGAUAGAUUUGGAUGGAUAAACCGAAAAAACGCAAUUCACAUGCACGUAUUGCACCGUGGGGGUCGAACCGAACGGUUCAAUAAUGUAUUGAGAAUUGUGGCAUCCCUAGUAAACGUUGGCUUUCAUGCACCCUGCCUUUAUUUGUUGUGAAGUGUAGCGUGAAUAUGUUAGCAUUUAGCCUAGCACCAAAAAACACGUCAAUAUCACCACUGUAAAAUAAUGACUAAAUACAUUAUCUUAAGUUUUGAAAAUUUAAUAAUGUAUUCAAAUGUUUGUCUACUUUUUAAAAUAAUUCAUAAUGGUGUCGCUCCUCCACUAAAAAAAGUAUUGCACUCAACUCAGAAAAGAAAAGAGCUACUCGAUCAGCCACUAGAGGAGAGUGCAAUAUUCCCAAUCGUAGAACUUCUUUUGGUAAAUCAUCUUUUUCUUUUGUGGCUACAACUCAGUGGAAUACUCUCCCCACACACCUUAUUACUUCUACAAAUCCAUUCAUCUUCUCGGGUUUGAUAAAAGCUUGGUUACUGUCACAACAAAACUGUACACACUUGUGAUGUGUGUGUGUGUGUGUGUGUGUGUGUGUGUGUGUGUGUG